rnacentral:rRNA from 1 species
CCCGAGGGCAUGCCCGCCUGAGCGUCCGC